CAAAGUGUAGCUUAAACAAAAGCGCCUGGCUUACACCCAGAAGAUUUCACUAAAAAUGACCACUUUGA
rnacentral:tRNA from 1 species